AGAGUUUGAUCCUGGCUCAGGACGAACGCUGGCGGCGCGCCUAACACAUGCAAGUCGAACGGUGAAGAGGAGCUUGCUCCUUGGAACAGUGGCGGACGGGUGAGUAACACGUGAGCAACCUGGCUCUAAGAGGGGACAACAGUUGGAAACGACUGCUAAUACCGCAUAACGUAUCGGGAUGGCAUCUUCCUGAUACUAAAGAUUUUAUCGCUUAGAGAUGGGCUCGCGUCUGAUUAGAUAGUUGGCGGGUAACGGCCACCAAGUCGACGAUCAGUAGCCGGACUGAGAGGUUGAACGGCCACAUUGGGACUGAGACACGGCCCAGACUCCUACGGGAGGCA
rnacentral:rRNA from 1 species